rnacentral:rRNA from 1 species
GAUGAACGCUGGCGGCGUGCUUAAUACAUGCAAGUCGAGCGAACAGACGAGGAGCUUGCUCCUCUGACGUUAGCGGCGGACGGGUGAGUAACACGUGGAUAACCUACCUAUAAGACUGGGAUAACUUCGGGAAACCGGAGCUAAUACCGGAUAAUAUAUUGAACCGCAUGGUUCAAUAGUGAAAGACGGUUUUGCUGUCACUUAUAGAUGGAUCCGCGCCGCAUUAGCUAGUUGGUAAGGUAACGGCUUACCAAGGCAACGAUGCGUAGCCGACCUGAGAGGGUGAUCGGCCACACUGGAACUGAGACACGGUCCAGACUCCUACGGGAGGCAGCAGUAGGGAAUCUUCCGCAAAGGGCGAAAGCUUGACGGAGCAACGCCGCGUGAGUGAUGAAGGUCUUCGGAUCGUAAAACUCUGUUAUUAGGGAAGAACAAAUGUGUAAGUAACUAUGCACGUCUUGACGGUACCUAAUCAGAAAGCCACGGCUAACUACGUG